UUGGAGGGCAAGUCUGGUGCCAGCAGCCGCGGUAAUUCCAGCUCCAAUAGCGUAUAUUAAAGUUGUUGCAGUUAAAAAGCUCGUAGUUGAACCUCGGGAUCAAUGGAUCGGUCAUGCCAUCGGUAUGUACUGGUCUCAUUGGUUCUCACCUUCUAAGGAACCAUGAUGUCAUUAAUUUGAUGUUGUGGGGAAUUAGGACUGUUACCUUGAAAAAAUUAGAGUGUUUAAAGCAAGCUUACGCUUGAAUACAUUAGCAUGGAAUAAUAGAAUAGGACGUGUGGUUCUAUUUUGUUGGUUUCUAGGACCGCCGUAAUGGUUAAUAGGGACAGUCGGGGGCAUCAGUAUUCAAUUGUCAGAGGUGAAAUUCUUGGAUUUAUUGAAGACUAACUACUGCGAAAGCAUUUGCCAAGGAUGUUUUCAUUAAUCAGGAACGAAAGUUAGGGGAUCAAAGACGAUCAGAUACCGUCGUAGUCUUAACCAUAAACUAUGCCGACUAGGGAUCGGACGAUGUUAUUUUUUGACUCGUUCGGCACCUUACGGGAAAC
rnacentral:rRNA from 1 species